CGCGUAAAUUACCCAAUCCUAAUACGGGGAGGUAGUGACAGAAAUAUUGAUAUUGGACCCAAAGGGUACAAUGAUUGAAAUGAGAACAAUAUAAAAAACUUAACGACUAACAAUUGGAGGGCAAGUCUGGUGCCAGCAGCCGCGGUAAUUCCAGCUCCAAGAGUGUAUAUUAAAAGUUGUUGCGGUUAAAAAGCUCGUAGUUGAAUUUCUGAAAAUAAUCUUCGUGAUUGAUUUAACCGUCAUGAACAAAAUUGUUUACAUACUUGAUAGAUGGAAACAUUUAUCUUAAUGACUUUGAAAAAAUUAGAGUGUUCAAAGCAUGAUUCACAUUUGAAUAAUACAGCAUGGGAUAAUAUAAUAUGACAUUAGUUAAAAUUUGUUGGUUUCUUUGGCUAAUGUAAUGAUUAAAAGGG
rnacentral:rRNA from 1 species